rnacentral:rRNA from 1 species
UACGGGGGGGGCAAGCGUUGUUCGGAAUUACUGGGCGUAAAGGGCGCGUAGGCGGUCUGCUAAGUUGGAUGUGAAAACUCUGGGCUUAACCCAGAGCCCUGCAUUCAAAACUGACAGGCUAGAGUUCUGGAGGGGGAAGCGGAAUCCUGGUGUAGCGGUGAAAUGCGUAGAUAUCAGGAGGAACACCGGUGGCGAAGGCGGCUUCCUGGACAGAAACGUGACCGCUGAGGCGCGAAAGCUAGGGGAGCAAACAGGG